UACGUAGGGCGCAAGCGUUGUCCGGAAUUAUUGGGCGUAAAGAGCUCGUAGGCGGUUCGGUAAGUCGGGUGUGAAACCUCCAGGCUCAACCUGGAGUCGCCACUCGAUACUGCUGUGACUAGAGGUCCGGUAGGGGAGCGUGGAAUUCCUGGUGUAGCGGUGAAAUGCGCAGAUAUCAGGAGGAACACCAGCGGCGAAGGCGGCGCUCUGGGCCGGAACUGACGCUGAGGAGCGAAAGCGUGGGUAGCAAACAGG
rnacentral:rRNA from 1 species